rnacentral:lncRNA from 1 species
CAAAUUUGUUGCAAUAAUCCUUAUAAUAUCCAAUGCGAGCUUGAACCUGAGCAGGUUGCUUGCCACCGCAUUCAACGGCACCAUUGAUUCUCUGAAUUGUUGCACCAAAACCUUGGUUCAUAACUGGGUGCACAUUGGUCAUCCAAAACCACAAGGCAGUCUUAAAUGACACAACGGGGUCCUUGGCCACCGUUUCCGGAGCUCUUAAUCCGUCAAACCCGAUGGCUUUUCCGGCAGCUCCGUAGUUUCCAUUUCCGGUGAGUUGGAUCGGUCCACGGCCGUAGUAGAACUUUCCGGGAACACAUGGGUACUGUUUGUUUUGUUCAUCACAGUACCGGUUGGACUUGUUAAUCUCUUCUAUGUAGCACAAAUCUGAAAAAGCCAGACAUUUUUUUUUCUAAUUAAUUCUCUCCGGGCUUAAUCAAGAUAAUUGGCUAGUGGCAAAUCAUAUCAAUUAAAAGUUGGAGUAUUCAAUUAGUUUUAUUGAAAACUUUUAUGUGUUCAACAAACUGAGAACAUUAUUUAAUACAUAUAAAGCAUGUAAUUAAAAAGAUUAUGUUCAUUCCAACCUUAUAUAUAUUUCUAGUAGUGAACAAAUAUGGGCCCUUCGAUUUGAAAUUCAACUUCAACCUUUUGCUUUUUUUUUCUGGGGCGGCGGGGGGGCGGGGGGGAUAUAGUUUUAAAAAAUUUCAAAAACGGUUUUGAAAAUAAUAAAACAAAGAAAAGUCGUUUUCUUCUCUAUGCAUGGAUUGCUCAUAAAUACUUUGCAUGCAAAAAGAAAUAAAAUGGAGAGAACUUACGUCCAGUUUCAUGAGUGACGUGUGCAAAAAAUGCAGCAAUCUCACGCUUCGAAACUUCAGGAGAGCCGCUACCAAAUUGAGGAUAAGCCUUGGCAGCAUUCAGAAACGCAUCUCUCGUGUAGAAGCUCUUGCCGGCACAACUCGCGGCUGCCUGAUUCUUUAUGCCGUCGAAGAACUGGGGAGUCACAAUGCUAGCAACAUUUUGACACAUUACUUUGGUGGGAAAAGCUAGGGCAAGAAUGCCCACAAGAGCAAAGGUUACAAUAUUUUUUUUCAUGUUAAGUGGAGCCAUUUUGUUUAGGAGUAGAGAAAUGUGAGUGAUAUGCAAAUGUUGGUGAUGGGAGUACGGUAUUUAUAGAGUGCAAAAUGGACGUUAUGUCUGCCACGUGCUGGUGAAUUGUGAUAAAUUUGAACAUAGAGUUUAUCUCUUGUUAGGUUUUUCUAGACUUCGCAUUUGUUGUGGCUUGAAAUCUAGCUGGCUUGACUUGUCAAAAGAACUAGAAAUAAAAUAAAAGAAAAUAAAUCAAAUCUUUCGAGUGGGUUGUUGAUUGACCGCCAUCUAUAUUAAACUUUUUCAAAUUAAAUUUGAAUAAUAAUUGUACAAAAUAUAAUUUUAAAUAACUAAUUUUCAAUAAAUUUUGAGGAAAUUUGUUUUUUAAUGUAACUGAAUUAAUUGUAGAUUGGAAAAUCUUAAACUCAUACUUGUUUCGAGCUUUCAGAUAUUGAAACUCAGACAUGUUUAUUUUUAAUUAUCUACCUACUUUGUUUAUAUAUAUACACAUGCACUAGACUUUACACAAAUUUUAACAAAAAAAUAUGUGGUUUGUACUCAUUUGAGUGAUUUAAAUUUUUUUAGGUUUGUUAAUUAAUAACUAAUAACAUGGUAUCAUAUUUUCUCAGCUAAAUACUUAUUUGGUCUGUGUAUUUUUCAGUUAAGUAUCCAUUUAAUCUCUUUAUUUUAGAAAAUAUUUCAAGACAUCUUUACUGGUAAAUAUAUUACAUUCCUACCCUGAUCUUUUCUUUGAUUUUAGAAUAAUACCCUUACAAUAAUAUUGUUGGAGAUUCAAUGAAAAGAAAAAAAAAAUGAAUUUAUCAAAUUAGUCUUAAAAGUAAGAUAAAAAUUACUCUAUCUAUUUUUUGUUAUCUUAAUUUUAGGAUUAAUUUGNNNNNNNNNNNNNNNNNNNNNNNNNNNNNNNNNNNNNNNNNNNNNNNNNNNNNNNNNNNNNNNNNNNNNNNNNNNNNNNNNNNNNNNNNNNNNNNNNNNNUUAGCUUAAACAUUGCUUUAAAUUAGUUGGUUUUAAUUUAUCAUAAAUGGUUACUAGUUGUUGUAGAAUGAUAUUUAUUUCUAAUUUUCUAAUAUAUUGGUUAAUAUGCUAUUUAUUUUUUUAGAUAAAAAAUUAAUGCCAAAAAUAUUAUUGUUAGUAUUGUUGUAAAAGGUAAGAAAAAAAUAAGAGGAAGAUCGUAACAUAUUUAAAAUAGGAUGUCUUUACAUUUUUUUUUAAAAUAUGUGGACAAAAAAGAUAUUUAAAUUAAAAUAUAGGAUAUAUACCCUAAUUUCUUUAUAACUUAAUUUCCUUUCUUUCCUUAAUUCUUUUUCCUUUUUUUAGUGAUAUCAGUUAUCACAAUGUAAAAAUUAAUAAUCAGUCCAAACAUCUGAGUUUUUUUUAAUAUUUUCCGUUUAUAAAUACUGAAAUAUUUAUGUAUAUCUUCGAAACUGAAAAGUCAAGCCUUCCACUAACUCCCGUUCUCAAUUAGCGGCGUAAAUUUGGGUCCAUGAAAUGAAAGCAAUUCUUCUUGUACCCUUUUCUCCACACUAGUUCUUCUCGUUCUCUUCUCGGCAUUGAUAUUCUGGUGUGUCACUAAUCAAUUUAAUAUCUCAAAAUAUUUUGGUGACGUCCUAAUGUAUACAAACUUUCAUUCUCAAGUACAAGGGUUUCAUCUGUUUUAAUAAAAUCAAUAUUUAAUAUAUUAUAAAAUCAUGUAAUUUAAUAAUAUGUUUGUACUAAUUUUAUUAAAUCAUAUGACUCAAUAACGUGGCAUAUGAAAUAAACAAUAAGCUGUCCACAUGAAAAAAAAAAGUUUAUAUAUAUACUUAUAAAAUUAAUUAGAAAAUAUCCUUAUUAAAAAUCUAACCGAUCAAAGGAGCUUCUAAAACUUUCACGUAGGAUAAGUUGUCUUUUUCCAUACAAAUACUUAAAAACUUUUUUCUGAUACAAACCCCAACAUAUGAUUAUGGCCAUAGAAAAUUUGAAAAUUUUGUCCCAAAAAAAAACUUGAAAGAAAAGCUUAAAACUAAUAACGAAAAAUAGGAUAAAUUAAUCAAACACAUGAUGACCAAUUUUGCAUUAAUCUAUUUGUGAUAGCCAAUUUUAAUCAAAAUAAAUAUAUCUGCAAUCGGAAAAAUAACUUUUUUUUUUUUACUUCGAUAUUAGAAACAGGCAGCCACUGAUUGGGACCAUCAAGUAUACAAGUUUACAACGGUACGAAACUUGUUUCGAUUGCAUUCGGCUGCCCGAAAAACGGGAAAAAAAGAAAACAGAUUUUCUUUGUAAUGUCGGUAGCAUGUUCUUUUGACAAGUUUAAUAAAAGAUUCAAAGAAAAUCUAUGACUUUUUACUCAAAACUUUCCACCUGGGGAGAUGAAAACUGCACAGUUAAAGCAUCAAACACAUUGUUCAUGAAUCAUGAUCAAAGGAAAAAAAAUUUCUGAGCUGGAUUGAAAACAUCAAAAUCAGUAUUCAUAAAUCAUGAUAAGAAGAUAAAAGUUCUCUUUGUCGGAUAAGAAACAUUAGCUUUUCAGAAUUUUUUUUUUUUUUAAAAUGAACUUAGAAGGAUUCCAAGUGUCCCUUUUACUAAUUUAUAAAUAGGGUAAUUUGCCCUUAUUUGUAUGAAAAGCCAACCACAUCCUCCUGACAAAAAAAAAAAAAAGGGGCAAAAAGCCAACCUCAUCCGUCGAAUCAGCCAGUAAUUUUUUACACGUGUACAAUUUUUGGGAUUUCUUAACACAUGCUGUUUGGAAAGCAUCUCGUAUCGCCCAAAAUAAAAAGUGCAUAAUUUUCUUUUUUUCAAAGGUUCUUUUAUAAAUGAUAUCGGUCAAUGGAAUUAUUGUUUUGCUCUAAUUUUUUAUUAGGCUCUUCUCUUGGGAUUUUUGUCCUUCAUUCUAAGCCUUCUGACAAAUCACAAUUGGGGCUACUUUGAAUGAUAAAGCUUGCUGGACUUAUGACUAGGCUCCUUUUGGUAUGUCAUUUCAUUUGAAUAUGUAAUUUCUUUAAUUACGUUUGAAAAGGAAAAAUAUGACAAGAAAGAGGAGUACACUAUAAUAGUUGUCUGAGUCUGAUAAUGGACUGUACAGUGCUUACCUUGAUAGAACUCAGUGCACAAAGUAGUUGAGCAUACAUAACAAAAUCCCCAAACUUUACUCCGUUGCCAAACAUGUCUAAGUUAAAUUUACUCUAUUAUAAAAAAGUCUUGGGCGUUGGGUGUUUUAGGAGCACCACAUCAUUCACAUUCACAUUAUAAUAUUUGAGCAAAAGAAAAUUGCCUAAAAUAUGUAUGAUUAUCUGCAGGCUUUAAGUUUUAUCCAAUUAAAGAAUUGAAUGUUCAUCAUUUAUCAAAUUAAUAACUAGUUUUUAAAGAAAUUAUGGCUCUAAAGUAUUUCCAGUUUUCUUUAAUUUCAUAGACGAGUCAAUUAACAACAAAAAUAAUCCAUUAAUUUAUGGCAGACGAGAACAAUAUUUCAAUUGCAAAUCAACCUGAAAGUUGUUUACAAACAUAUCAUAAUCUAUAGGAACAAAUCAGUUAUAUAUAUAUAUAUAUAUAUCUUAUGGCAAAAAAAAAACAUACAAAUUAACUUUAUUCUUGAUUUUUUUCUACACGACAAUAGUUGUUUACAAUUGUAUGAUUCUGGCUGAUGGAGGUAUAAACCACAAAUCAUGUGAUUAGUAAUUAGUUCUUUCAACUAUUGUUCAAGCAAUAAAGAGUCCCAUUUCAUGGCCAAGAUUGCACGUCAACCAGAAAAAGACAUGAUCUUAAAUGAUAUAACAAAAUAAAUAUGUAGUAAUUUCACUUACAAACUAAGGGUAUUUUUUACUUUCCUCCAUUGAUUAUUCAAAAAAACUUCCGCUGACCUGAAAACAUUUUUUACCAUAACAGUUGUGUGGCUGUUUAGUGGACCUUGAGGCGUUCCAUAGGACAUCCACUGAUUCCAAAUAAAAAACGCACCCUUUGUUGAGUCCGGCCCAAUACAUCUUUUGUCAUCUACAAUAAAUUAUUUUACAAUUUAUGUUUAUGAUUUUUGGACUUAAUAACAGCGGUUCAUUGACAAUCUACUUUAACAGUAAGGGAACCUAUUUUUAGGUUGCAAAACUUGCAGCAAUAAAUUAGCUUCCCCAAAAGAGAAAUAAAGAUUUCACAUUCUAAUUAAAUAUCAAGGAAAUUAAUUAAUUGUGCUCCAUUAUUCCAACUUCCGAGAUCAGUACAUCAAAAUUGAACAUUAAUAAUUAAAUUGUUCAAAACUUGUUUCGAUAAGCUAGCUAGUUCCCAAAUGGAAGUAUAAGAUUUCACUUCCUUAGAUAGACACGAUAAUCUUUCACUAUAAAUUUAAAUUAAACCUUAUUAAAGGUCUUGAAUUCAUUGUACGCACAUAGUUUGAACCUCAUAUAGACCACCAACGUAACCAUGAAGAAAACUAUCUUCUAUAAAAGAUUUUCCCACCAAAGCUGAACAAGUAUCAGAUUUAGGGUUAGGAUUAGGAUUUGUCAACAUUUAGAAAUUUGGAUUUAGAUUCAGGAUUUGGCAACAUUCGAAUUUCGGGUUAGGUUUUGGUAGUUUUCCUGUUGUAUUUUAAUGGCUAUUAACAAGAAAUUAAUCAACUCACACAACUUUGAUCAAUUAAAGACAGAAUGGAAUCAAGAACAGAAAAUGAUUCAGUCAAACAAGAACCUAGAAAACUAUUCACAGUGAACAAGCUUCCAAGUUUCAAAGGAAAAAUGAACAAGAUCUCAUUACUCAAAUGCUUUACAAUCAGAUCAAUUGUUUUGAGGACACUUCAAGGAUUCCAAAGAAUCUAGAAUCACCUUUUUUAGCUAAGAAACAAAAGAGAAAUCACACACAAAGCAAUGCACAGCAGGCCCUUUCAUAUUUUGGAAAUUUUCUAGAAACACCUUAACAACCUUUAACCUUUUUGCCACAUUAGCGCAGAAUUUACAAAUUGACUCCUCAUUUGAAGUCGAUUUGCACAUUACCCAACAACUUUCAUUCGAUUACAUUUUAGUCCAAAAACAUAACUCAUGUCCUCACACUCUCCACCUUGCAGAUCUGAUUCAGCAUUACUCUUGACCAUAAGUGCUUUAAAAAAAAAACCUUCAACCACGCAACUUAACAACUAGAACCAUUUCCAAUACCAAUCAAGUCUACACAAAUCUUAAAUUUGGCUGUUGGAAUUACUUCUGUUAACAUAUCAGUAGGGUUGAUAUCUGUAUAUAUUUUUGUUACUACAACAAACCCUUUUGCGACCUCAUCUCUGAUAAAGUGCAACUUCAUAUCAAUGUGUUUGGUUCUCCCACGAUAAAUUUCAUUUUUUAUAAGCUGAAUCGCACUCUAAUUAUCACAAAAGAUCUAAAUUGUCUUUUGUUUCAACCAAAAUUCAUUCAGUAGCCUUCUCGGCCACAAUGAUUCUUUUACUGCCUCUAUUGCAGCAAAAAUUCAGCCUCAGUAGAUAACAAAGCUACUAUGUGUUGUAAAGUAAGUUUCCAACUUAUGAGACAAUUUUCUAGCAUGAACAGGUAUCCAGAGAUAGAAUUUCUCCUAUCUAAGUCACCUGCAAAAUUAGAGUCCACAUAGCCUCUAACUUCAUAGACUUCUUGCUUGGAUUUGCCAUACACCAGACCAUGAUCUAAAGUACGUUUCAAGUACCUCAUAACCCAUUUCAUAGCAUCCUAAUAAAGCUUAUCAGGAUUACUCAUAAACCUGCUUACUACACUUACUGCAUAAGCUAUGUCUGCUCUGGUGCAAGCCAUUGCAUACAUUAAGCUUCCUACAGCCAGUAAAUAUAGAAUUUCUUAGCAUAUGAUAUUGGAGACAUAUCAUUAGAGAGUUUAAAUUGAGCUCCCAAAAGUGUCAUUACAGGUUUUGAAUCCAUCAUAAUAUACUUUUCUAACUCCUUACUGACAUAUCUUGAUUGGCUUAGAAACAAAGUACCAACAACUCUAUCUCUAAGAAUAUCCAUAACAAGGAUCAUCUUAGCACUGCCAAGAUCUUUCAUUUCAAAUUCCCCCUUUAAUAAAUUCUUAAGUUUCUCAAUAUCACUAGAAUUUUUACCAACAAUGAGUAUAUCAUCAACAUACAACAAAAGAUACAUAGCUCCACCUGAGCUUAUGUUCCUAUGAUAGACAUGUUGUACAAAUUUUAUUGAACUCGCAAGUGCACGAAUCUAUUUUAGAAUAGAUCAAUGGUGACAAGUGUCGAUCCCACGAGGAGGUGGAUUUUAAUUGUGUGUAGAAUUAAUUUUUCUAAAUGGGUGGUUGGAAUUAUGGUAAAGAUGAUUUGGAAUAUCUUAAAAUUUAAAUUGAAAUGGCAGAAUUAAAUUAAAAUGGAAACUAUAAUAAUUGAAGCGCUUGGGUAUCUAGAUCCGCAUCAACAUGCACCAUGGGCUAAAUAUUUCUUAUUAAUGCCAAUUAAAUCAUGAGGGGGGAAUCCACACCUCAUGAACCACACUCUAAUCAAUAUGGUGCUAAGAGCUUAUCGUACCAAAUAAUAAUAACUUUGUACUAGGGAGCCGGUAAAAUCAGUGCGGUAUCUAGACAAGAUUAUUAUUAUUUGUCGACGAAAAGUCAAAACAUCCACAAAAAUUAGAGGUGAAGAGAAAAUAAAUUUACCAAAUAAAGCCCAUGACAUAUGUUGAGACUUCACCUUCAACCCAAGCUUGAAAGAAAAUUAACUACUCAUAAUUGAACUAGGAGCAAAAUAAGAAUUUAUUAAAAUACGUAGAAAAUACAAGAUGGAGAAGGAAUUAUAGAAAAUGGAACUUAAAAUUGAAUUCAGAGAUAUCAAAAUAGGGGGGAGAGGUCCUAUUUUUAUAGAUACAUUGAGUAAACAAUGGCUAUCGAAUUAAAAACAGUUUGAACGCUCAGGAUUGCGCCACGUCAUCAGUCAACAGUACGCAGUUUGACCACGCGGUUUGAACAGUGAUACGGUUUGACCACACGGUUUGAACAGUCAACUGGUUUGAAUAGUGACACGGUUUGGUUGAAAAUAAUCCUGUGUAUAUGCAUGUACUGUACGCGCGAUUUUUAGUCCACUGAUAUGCUGCCGCGUCACCAAUCAACAGUGCAUAAGAAUUUUCUCCAAUGGAAUCGUGUCACCUCGUCAGUCAAUGCCACAUCAUCGGUCAAUGCCACGUCAUUGAUCCGUCUAUGUGAACAGUGUCGUGAACAGUAACGUAAACAAUACCGUACAUGUGAAUAAUAUCGUACAUGUGAACAAUGAUAUUUUUCCUUUUAUGCUCCUCCUAAGGUUUUCGACUGUCCUGAGUUCAAAAGUGAUGUCCGUUUUGCCGUCUGAUCUCUAGUUCAUUGUGAAAUGACCAUGAUGUCCCUAAAAUACAUAAAAUACUUAAUUAAAAUAAAACAUAUAUAAUUGAAUCACAAGAAACUUAAAAUACAUAAAAGUAAGGGUGUUAAUAAGACUUGAAAUGUAAAAUGACGAUUUUCUCCUUUAUAAAUAUAUAUUUUCUAACACUCAACAAGAUACAAUUAUCAUAUGUGCUCUUGUAAUAGCCAUUAGAGAUCAUAAACUGGUCAAAUCUCUUACAUUGCCUAGGAGACCCUUUCAAGCCAUAUAGAGACUUAUGCAGAAGACAUACAUAAUCCUUAUGUCCCUUUACUUAAAAACCUUCAGGCUGUGACAUUAAUAUCUUUUCUUCAAGAUUAUCAUGUAAGAAGGCAGUCUUUAUAUCCAUUUGUUCAAGCUCUACAUGAAGCAAAGUCACCAUAACAAGUAAGGUUCUAAUUGAUUUGUGUUUUACAGCAUGUGAGAAGAUUUCAUUAAAAUAUACCCCUCAUUUUGAAACCCCUUGCCACAAGUCUUGCCAUAUAUCUUGAGUCUUUAACACAUGGAAUACCCUCAUUCUUCUUGAAUAUCCAUUUGCAGCUGACAAUUUUCCUAUUUCUUGGAUUAGAAACCAAUGUCCAUGUCUGAUUCCUUACCAGAGAAUCCAUCUCUUCCCUUAUUGCUUUAAUCUAGUUAUUGUUGUACUUAGUGCUUUUGCGUAGCUGCUAGGCUUUUCAAUUGAAACAUCCUCUACACUCGUCAAUGCAUAUGCAACUAUGUCUGUAUAUGCAUACCUUUUUGGGGGUAUGAUAUGUCUUCUUUAUAUGUCCAUAUCUAAUUGAUAUUAUUGCAGAUCAGUAACUUGUGGUGCUGCAUCUUCAAUUACUACUGUAUCUUGAGAAUAAUCUUCAACAGCUUCUGGUUGUACUUCAUCUUUAUGAGCACUAGACAACUCUACCUCAAUAUUAACACCUUGAUUAAUGACUCCAGUAGUCAGUGUCUUAUUUACAUUAAUAUCAGUAUCAGAAGUUACUUGAUCAGACUUAUUGAUUACAACAACUUCAUUAAACAGAAUAAAUAAUUAAACACUUAUUAGCUUUUCCACACCAAACUCUGUAGCCUUUAACCCCAUCUAUAUAACGAACAAAUGCUCAUUUGACAGCUUGUGCAUCAAGCUUCCCUUGUCUAAUAUGAACAUACGUAGGAUGCCCAAAUACCCUGAGAUAUUUAUAGCUUGCAAGUUUUCCAGACUAGACUUCUUAUGGAGUUUUGAACCCAAUGGCUGAUGAUGGACUUCUAUUAAUGAGAUAACAGGCUGUUGAGAUAGCUUCAACCCAAAAACUCCUUGGUAAUUAAUAAUUGAUCAAUAAGCAUCUUGUCUUAUAAACAAGGGUUCUGUUCAUCUUUUCAACUAAGCCAUUUUGCUGAGGGGUGAGCCUUACCGUCUUAUGCCUCUUAAUCCCUCAUUCUUGAUAAAAAAAAAACUUUAAACUCUUUAUUACAGAAUUCAAGUUCAUUGUCUGUCCUAAGGCAUUUCACUUUGAAACCAUAUUGAGCCUCCACCAAAGCCUUCAAGACUUUAAACUUUUCAAAGACUUGAUCUUUGGUUUUCAAAUAUAUAUACCCAAACCUUUCUGGAGUAAUCAUUUAUCACAGAUAUAAAGUACUUUCCACCACUUAGAGAAGAGACCUGACCAGGCGCUCAAAGAUCAGCAUGCACAUAGUCUAAAGGUUGUUUAGACACAUGCAUCCCUUUAGUAAAUUUGACAUGUGUGCUUUGCUAAAAAUACAGUUUUCACAUAAGUCUAACUCAAUUAUUUUGUCACCACAGAGCAACCCUUGAAUACUUAAUUUUUGCAUUCCCCUAAUACUCAUAUGGUCAGGUCUAAGAUGUCAUAACAUAGUUCUAUCAAGCUCAGAAAUAGUUGUCAUUAUAGUUGACACAAGCACUGAUGAUCCUUCUAAUAUAUAAAGACCAUUUUUCUUAAUCCCUUUCAUUACCAUCUCAGUCCUUUUCAUAAUCUUUAAACCACUAUUUUCAAAUUUGAAGAAGUAUCAUGUACUAUCCAGCAUGCCUAAAGAGAUUAAGUUCCUCUUUAGCCUAGGUGUAUGUCUCACAUCACAUAGAGUUAUAACAAUCCCAUCAAACAUCUCUAUUUUGAUAAACCCUAUACCAAAAAUCUUACACACAUUGUUGUUUCCCAUCAAAACUCUACCACUAUCCACAUAUUCAUACUCAUAAAAAAAACUUCUAUCAGGACACAAAUGAAAGGAACAAUCUAAAUCAAGGACCUAAUAACCUCUAAUGUUGUUGUUUAAGGCUACCAACAAGUCAGCACUAUGGUAUCCAUCAUCAGAUAAAUCAUCUGAGGCCACUGCUGCAUCUCAUAUUCUCUCUUUAUCAUAUUUCUUUUUCUCAGAACAAUCUCUAAUGUAAUGGCCUUGUUUCUUACAGUAAAAACACUUCCUCUUCUUCAUUUUUUUUCUUUUGCAGAUCUAUCAAAAUUGUACGUGAAAAGUUCUCAUUUAUCCUUUAAUAAUGCAUAUUUUUUGUCACUGUUUAAAAGUUGGAACAAAAUGAGUAAUAAAUUUCAUUGGAACUCAAGUUGUAAAAAUAAAUUAUAAGAUAGAUCGAGCAUCAUUCUCCCUAAUUUUAAUUAAUAGAUCAAACUUUUUCUUCUGGAUAAUUAUUUCGAGGAAUAGUAUCCUUAGCUCGUUUACGUAGGCAACAAGUUAGCAUAACCUACAUAUGAAACAAUAUCUUCUAAAGACUUGAAAAUUCUCGUAAGCAAGAAGUUAGCAUAACCUACAUAUAAAACAAUAUCUUUUAAAGACUUGAAAAGUCUAGUCAAUUUUCUAAACUUUCAUUCUUGAACGAUGUCUAUUUUCUUAUAGGUAAACUCAAGGGACAUUUUCUUUAAAAAAAGUUGAUAAAACAAAUAUGAAAUUGAAUUAAAUUCUCAUAAUUAGAACCGAAGCAGAAAAAAAAUGACGUUAUUUUAUAUUUAAGUAAUGCUACAUAGCAUGAUCUAAGAGAAUAUAAGAAAUUAAAUAAAAAAUAUUAAAUUUUGUAAAAAAAUUAAAAAAUUUUAUAAAUAUUUAAAGGACCAAACUAAAUCGAAAAUCUUAGUUCUAAUUCUAUUCCUAUUGAUUUUUCAAGAAUUCAGUACUGAACCAAACUAAAGUUUUGGAUUCGGCCCAAUACCUAAUCAAAUCGUCUCAUUGCCCACCCUUAAGUAAAUUAUUGUUUAUAUAUAGCUUGUUGCAAAAUAAUAAUCAUAUAGGAUUCAAUUACUUUGAAACAAUUGCAACAUGUGUCAAAUUUUUUCAUUAUGAUACUUCAGCUGUAUACAUGAAAAAGUAGUUUCAACGGUAGGAUGUUGUUAUUUGGUUAUUAACAUUAUACCCUCUAAAACAUAUUUCAGAACUUAAAAACAAUCCGGCCCAAAUUCCAAAUCUCUCUCUUCUUCUCAAAAUCAUCUUCAUCUCAUCUCACCUUCAUUUCAUCUUGUUCCCUAAUUGUCGCCCAAAUUCUCGUCUUGUUCUUGUUCAUUUACAACUGAAUUUGAUUUAGCAUUAUUAUUUGUGGAACUUUCAAAUUAAAUUGACCAAAAGUGACUGUUCCUUUGGGGGCGGACCCAGGCCUCGAAAAUUUUUGCUUAAACCCCUUAAUUUUUUAUAAUUUUUCAUAAAACAAUAUUUAUUUUACUUUUAAAUAUGUCCCCAAUUCAACCUUUUUUUUUUCUUCAAUUAGAGUUAGAGAUUAUAUAUUUAUUGAAUAAAUUGAAAUCAUCAGAAGUUUAAAGACUUAGCACUGCUUUACCUUAUUAUAAAAAAUAUUAUAAUUUGGUCUAAUUGAAAAAAAAAAUGUCAAUAGAUUAUAAUAUUAUCACUAUGAGUAAUUUUAAUCUUAUAAUAAGAGAAUCUUUUACUUUAGGGAAAAAGAUACCUACAUCCUCAAGGUUUAGAGAAAUGGUUAUGUAGAUCUAAAAUUUUUAAUAAAAGAUACCAAGACCCACUUUUGAUUAUAAUACCAUUUAGCACUAUUAACUCAAAAUUUUUUUGUAAGGUUGUCCUACUAUCUUAGUAUGUUAAAUUUGUUGGAAAAAAUCCAAUACUAUUGGGUUAUGUGACAGAAUAAUAAGUCUCUAAAUGGUAUGAUUGAGGUGGUGCGAUGAUCCGACACAAAUAUUUCUUGUCAAACAAAGGGUUCAAAGCCAUAAAAUUAGUAGAGUAAAUGCAAUAAAAUAAUGUUAUUCAUAAAGCUGAAGUUUUAUGCUCCUCCAAAAUUGAUUUAGCUUACUGGCAACCCCGAUAAAAGCUGCCCGGUGCCGGCUAUCAGCCAUCUUUAUAAAUGUGUUGAUUUAUUUAAUAAAUUGAAAAUACAUAAGAAAGUAAGGAGGCCAAAUAAAAUUUAGUAUUGCAAAAGAUUGAAAAAAAGGCGCCACUGUGAUACUACGGUACGAAAGUUGUCGCGCAGUUUCCUUUGUCCUAAUCUCUAACACGAUUCUUCUCAUAAUUCCAUGGAAACAUUGUCUUGUUCUGAACCAAUUAUUGUUGUCAAAUACUUUGUUACAUUCUUUUUAUGAUACACAUAUUAUCAAAAUAUUUGUUACAUUUAUUAAGUUAUUAAUUCAUCAUAUUUUUUAAGUCCUAUGUUACAAAUAUUAUGUUAUGAAAAAGCUGGGUUACUUAAAGUUGGUGUCCAAUCCGACACUCAAUCAAUCACUAAAGCUAGUAUUGCUCUUUGUAUAAAGUUAGUUUCUUUUUUCACUGACAAACAUCUAUCAUAUUGCUUUUCCUAAAAAAGCCAAAGCUAAAUCAAGGUGGAGUUUCUCCAAGAAGCAUAAUUAAUCACAAACCAUAUAAGCAAUAAAAUAUGGUCGGCAACACCCUUUUAUUUCUUCAAUUUAUUUUGUUUUAGGUACAUGAAACCACCCUAUUUUAUAAAAUUACACCACAUUAGGAACACACUUUUAUUUCUUCAAUUUAUUUUGUUUUCGAUACAUGAAACCACCCUAUAUUAUAAAAUUACGCCACAUUAUUUCCACAAGCCAGUGAAGUAUCGGCGAAAACAUCUUAACAAUAGAGAUUUGGGCCAGGAGCAACACCAAAUUUGUUGCAAUAAUCCUUAUAAUAUCCGUUGCGAGCUUGAACCUGAGCAGGUUGCUUGCCACCGCAUUCAAUGGCUCCAUUGAUUCUCUGAAUUGUUGCACCAAAACCUUGGUUCAUAACUGGGUGCACAUAGGUCAUCCAAAACCACAAGGCAGUCUUAAAUGACACAACGGGGUCCCUGGCCACCGUUUCCGGAGCUCUUAAUCCGUCAAACCCGAUAGCUUUUCCGGCAGCUCCGUAGUCGCCAUUUCCGGUGAGUUGGAUCGGUCCACGGCCGUAGUAGAACUUUCCGGGAACACAUGGGUA